UAUUUGUGAAUUGUUUAAGUUCUCUCUUAUGAGAAAAGAUUUAAGCCAGUGUACAAAAUAAUUCAGACUUCAGAAACAGGAGUGAAGGCAAGGAAAGUUGAUGAGAGGAGAUAGUGAAGGCAUGGAAGAUAGUCACUACACUUACCUCAGCUUCACCUUUUCAGGAGCUGGUACAAAGAGGAACAGUUCAUUUGUUACAGGACUCUCUCCACCUUAGUGAAGUGAUAAAUGAACUACUGUCAAUUCUAAUAAUUUCCAGGUCUUGGGCAGAUAUCUUGAAGUGUGACUUACUAGUGGAAUUUUACUUGUCCAAUCUAGGAAUGGAAACCUAGCUUCCAAGCCUUCAAUUUAAUGUCUUAAUCCUAUCUGUGUCUGUUGACACUGACAUUGAAAUUUCUCCUUUAAUAUCCUUGAUUCUAUGCCUCCCUGAAGUGGCUCAAACUGGCAUUUCAGAUAGUGAAGCACAGCUCACAUAGAACCUCCCUUACUACUGCUAAAGGCCAAUUAUGUCUGGUAGAGCUUAUUUGAGCAAGAAAAGCAAACCAAACAAAGUUCAAGGAAGUAAAACCCAAACAGAUGGUGAUCAGCUAAUCAGGUACCUCACAGGACCAGAACUAAUUCUGAGAAAUCUACCCAAUUCCAUUAUUGGUCAGUAUUUAUAGAGAAAUUCAACCUAAUUGCUAUAGUUACUCAGCUAGCUAAUUGAUUGUAGCUAAGUCACUUGGCUUCAAGGCCUCAUAUAGCUCACCAGUUUUAGUGCUGUGAUUGAACUCUGUGUAGAAGCUUAGACUGACUUCCUGGACUUUUAUAAUUUUACUUAACACUGUGUGUAUAUCAUUAGUGUUGCUCUGAAGGCUUGGUUUCUACAAGUCUAUCUGAAGAUCGGCCCUAGUAGAAAGGCCACAUUGAGACUGGUCUGAGGCAACCUUGAGGUUACUUGUAGUCGACUACUUUGGAGCCAAGUGUGGUGUUGUGUCUACAAGACUCAACAUUGCUUCGUGUAUUUUCCACAGCUUGGCUGCUGAUGGUUGGCUGGGCAGCAGGAAAAGCUGCUCACAUCCCUACUGUGUAGGAAUUUUGACUAGUUUUCAUUACAUGGAAGAAACGACACCUGCAUAACAAACUCAUUAAAGGAAUACAAUGAUGAUGGUAAAGGGUGUGAAAGUAUAGGGUGCUUGGUACAUAACAUAUACUAUUAUGAUUGUGUAUUUGUUCCAGUCUAUACUCUCAGUUCCUAAAGUGGAGAAGUAAAUUGAAAUCAGAUCUAGAUUUUUCUGUUCCUUAAAGUUAUUUAUAGCUUUAAUUUCUUACAGGAAUUAAUCCAGAAUUAAGUUGUAGAAAUUACAGAUUUGUUUCAACAAAAAAUGAAGUAUCAUUGUAUUAAUUUCUUGCCAGGAAGAAAUGCAAAUUAAUUAAUUCUGUUGAUUCUAUAGUUUAGUUAUGCUAUGUAAUGUCUGACUAGGUACAGUCUUUUGUGACAAGAAAGUGGGAUUGUUGUAAGAACUUUCCUGGUUAGGUGGGAAUGUGUGGUUGUUCACUUUGAAUGGGAAAUAUAGUCAUUGAAUAUCUAUACCAUCUGUCUAUUUGUCUGUGAUGGUACUGGAGUUUGAGCUCAGGGCCUCUUGGUUUGUUAGGCAAGUGCUCUACCACUUGAGCCAUGAUGCCCCAGCCUCCUUUUGCUUUAUUUUUCAGAUAAGGUCUUGUAUGUUAUGUUUUACCUGGGGCUGGCCUUAAACUUCAAUCCUCCUACCUAUGAAUAGUUAGGAUUACAGGCAUAUACCAUCAUGUCCAGCUUGUUUGAUAGGAUGAGGAUCUCAUUUUCCUCCCAUCUCUGGUGGCCAAAAAUGGCAAUCUUCCUGAUCUCUCUAGUAGUUGAGGUUAUAGGCAUGAACCACCACACUUGACUCUGAGUAUUUAUUAUUUUUGAGGAUGAAACCGUCAUAUUAUUUUGACAAAUCUGAAUAUUAUAACAGGUUGUGAUUUUUCCAUUAUUCCAGGUCAUCCCUUCCCUGGGUUUCACGUUGUUGCCAUGUUACCUUCUUGAAGUCUGUAACUUUUGCUGUGCGCUGUGCUGAUGUACCUGGUGCCUUUACAUCUACUAGACUGUCCCUGGUGAUCUUUUUGUCCAUCUGACUGCCUCAAUAGCAUGUGCCAGGCUUCCUAGAAAGCCUUGCCCUUCUUUCUGUCCCCUCUGGUGGGGGAGUUAGCCAUCUAGGUGUGCCACACUUCCACUUGGUAAAUAUGUCCCUUGCUGCUCUUAGGAUCUUAUUUUACUAUGUUUAUUUCACUUCUUUGUGUGCUAUAGUGUUCAAAGUUCAUGUUUUGAGUAUAUUUAUGUGUCCAUUUUCUAUCAUAGUGCAUAGUAGGAGGGCAAGAAAGGGUUGUCAGACAAGGCUCAACCACAGACUCUGGUUAUAAAUGUUCAGAUUCAUAUUCCUUCUUUAAAAGUUAAUGAUGAAGUAACACCUGUGUUUCAAUAGAGAAAGUCACAGAUUUUCUCCAGUAGAAACUAUUGUGGAUUAUUUGUGACUCAUAGAGCCAUCAGGCUGCAGGAAUAUUCUCAGUGAUUUGUGGAUGAUAGGGAAUUGGAUUCCGCACACCAAGAACACUGUUGAGACAUUUGUCUUCUGUUGGAAGAGGCAUGUUUGAGUCUUCUCAUCUGUCUGGCCCUGAAGAGAGGCCUCAGAAUUCAGAGUCCACAUGUGACUUUGUGGGAUAUUCUGACAGCCAGAUACAACACUGACUGACAAACUGUGUUCUCUAGAAACUCUGCUCUUCAGAGGAAAAGCAAAAACAAUGCUGUUUUGUUUCUUUGUACAAUAGUGUUCUUUUCUGUGACAAAAUGUAAUUGUUUGUGAUUAUUAGUUUUUGCUAAGGGUGAGCACAUUUGAAGUUAAAAAAUUCUUCUGGCCUUUUCAUAAAUAAAUUUAGCCUGAGUUAAAUCUUUCAGUUAGAAUAUUGACCAUGAGGCAUUCACAGGAGAGAUUGCUCAGAAGGUUCACAUGGUCAGUUUCCUCUGAAAAUGCCCACUUACUGAAAGAACAUUAAAAUCAUACCUUUUAAAAGAGAACCAUUUGGAGUUAUACAACAUUUGUGAUUAUAAACAAGUAAGUUA